UCAGUUCGGAUUGUAGGCUGAAACUCGCCUACAUGAAGCUGGAGUUGCUAGUAAUCGCGAAUCAGCAUGUCGCGGUGAAUACGUUCCCGGGCCUUGUACACACCGCCCGUCACACCAUGAGAGUUGGCAAUACCCAACGUACGUGAUCUAACCCGCAAGGGAGGAAGCGUCCUAAGGUAGGGUCAGCGAUUGGGGUGAAGUCGUAACAAGGUAAC
rnacentral:rRNA from 1 species